ACCUGGGUGGCUCAGUCGGUUAAGCGUCUGACUUCAGAUCAGGUCAUGAUCUCGCAGUCUGUGAGUUCGAGCCCCACGUCGGGCU
rnacentral:tRNA from 1 species